UGCAUUUAGCGGUAUAAUUUAUUAGAGGUGGAGAUGGUUACUCCUGCUGUUAUCCGGUCUGGUCGAGGCCGGCGGGGGUGUCCUCCUGGAUCCGGGCGGCUGUUAUCGGCCGUGUGCGUAAUGACGGCGGUCGUUCUCCUGCGGCUCAUUUAGGCAUGUCCAAUGAUGUUAUCUUAGAAGUGCCACGUAGGAUAAAUAAUGAGGUGGAGGAGAGAGAAUUCAUAAAAGAAGGCUUAUCUUUUCUUAUUUAAAAUAAGACAAGAGAUGAUCUCUUAACACAAUAUGUCUCACCACAUUUUUAGGAAUUGUUAGUUAUUGAAGAUGAGGCUAAGAGAUGAUUCAUUAUAGAUAUUUUUCUUUGUCAUCUUUAAAUUACAUGCAAAACUUAAGAUAAAACUAUCUUAUUAACCAUUGUACAUGCCCUUAGGAGGCGUUGCCGCCGUGCUGUUCGCCGGCCGUUGCGUCCUGCACGGGUUAGUAAGUUUCUUUCCUGUAGAUUUUUUCCUCUCCUUUCCUGUAGAUACGUGUGUUCGCCCGUGUUGCCUCGCUCGGUCUCUCCAGAUAUUUCUGUCGAGAAGUAUUGAGUCCAAUCUCCGCCACCGCUUGGCCGCCCAUUGCGCAUAUAAAAGGACCCCCGGCAGGCUCUCGCCUCAUCUUCUUUCAAUCCCCAUCUGGCCAUCUCCUCUUUGUGGAAGCCAUGCGGAGGAGCGCCCAUCCAGGCUGCCGGUGCCCCUGGCCACUGGAUCCCUCCCCCGGCGUCGUCGUCCGAGGCACCGCCGCGGCGCCGUCCCGCUUCUGCCGCCGCGGCCAUCUCCACGACGAUGUGGCAGACCUCCUCUCGGAGCUCCACGUUGAAGGCUGGGCCGAGCUGCCGCUGCCUGGGUCCCCCGUGUGCGCUGCCCGCAUCCUGUUCACUGCCGCAGUGCUGCCAUCGGCGUGCUUCGCGCUACCCUCCACCACACUCCCGGUUGGCACCAUGCCGCCGAUGAUGAUCCCAUGGUGAUGACGACAUGCAGCCUAUCCUUGCUGCGCUGGAGGUCGUCCAUCCUCCACCCUCUACCGGGGACGAGGUACGCCGCGGUGCAUUCAUCCAUGCUUCACCCCUUCCGACCCAUCUCGGACGGCGCCGCACUGUGGUAGCAGCCAGUCGCGACGAGACCGGCAACGCCUCCGCGUGCGGGCAGCGCACUUUCAAGGCCCGGUUGCAGUUCGCCGCAUGCCGCCAUCACCGAGCGUACGUGCUUUCCGUCAACAAGAGCACGGACCACAGCACGUACACUAUGCCGCUGCACUGUUUGUCCUUCAAGAUUAGCUGCAUGAUUAUCCGUCAAAAACCAGUCAUCUGAAGGACAGACCGUCGUUUGCGGGCCGUGUGCUGUUUGCUAGCUGCUUCCACCAGGUGUGAGAGAUCAAUAGAGAACGAGACGGCGUACAGGAAUCAAAAUAAAUUCGGCUCUCUCUCUCUCUCUCUCUCUCUCUCUCCUUUUGCUUUUUGAUGUACGUGUUUCAUGCAUGCAGCUCCGCUGACGUGCUACUCUGUUUGAGUUCUUCUGUUUGAAGUAUGAGAGAAAUCAAAUUCCUAUGUAUAGUGAGCCUUCCAAUUUGCACUAAUUAUUUAUGCAUCUUUUGAUGUACUUGAGGUGCAGGAAUCUACAAGCAAGUUUGAUAAUGCAGCGUAUGUAGUUCCUACUAUAGAAUCUCUAAAAAGGCUUAUAUUUAUGAACGGAUGGAGUAUUAGUUGAUAACAUGCGGAGCUCAAUCUAAUGAAUCAGAAACGAAGUGUGGACAUAGUACUACAUUUAGUGUUUAAGGUUUUUGCAGAUUGAGCUUUUGUGGUUUCAUGAAUUUUCACUAUUUUGAAGAUGUGGUGACCGCAGGCACAACCGCACAAUCAUAUUAUUAUUUUUGUAUUUUUUGUUUGAAGGAAGGCCUACUCCUCUUGGUAAGUUCACCUUUUUUACUGUGCCUGUGCCGCUGCUGCUACUGAUAAUUUCCUUCUGUAUCUGAUUCUAUAUUGUAUAUAUGGUUGGUAUUUGAGUGAUGCCUACUCGGUCCAUCUUUCCUUUUAUCUCCAUGUAGAACCAGGUGUGACACCUACUGAAGUAGCGUGUAGAAAAUCCAUGCCAUUUGGCGGCCUCAACGAAGCGCAACGUUGACUCACUUACCUGUACAUGCUCUAUAUAUUACCGGUUGUGCAUUCACGAGCAAGAUCAGCUCAGUAUACCACAAUGGACGAAGCUUACCGCCCCCAAAGAGCAUCCUCCGUAGCAAAGCAAAUUAAGAAGGGCAAACAUCCAGUCCUAAAUUUUGAUCAUGGGAGCGGAAGCAGCUCGGAGGAGAAUCUUAUAGUAUAUACAUUCCAAGACGACCAAUACUUGAAACAGUGAGUGAACAGUUGGCCUAAAAGUACAAGGCUACACCUGUUGGUAUGUACAUGAAGGUAUGAUACAAGCGUCCGUACUAAUUGCUCUGCCAUGACAGAGAUAUAGUUUCAGAGAAUCCUCCAUUACAUAUGAACAGUGGCGAUUCCACUAGGGGGGCUUCAAUAGGCUGAAGCCUACCCUCCAAAAAUCAUAUUUCAGCUAAACAUGCAACUUGAGAAUUAUACUGAGGUGUUUAACAUGUAAACUGCAAUGAAUUUGCUCAGUAGACUUAGAAACUUGAUGUUUUGAGCCUACCCUUCAAUUUUGUGCAAGAUUCGCCACUGCAUAUGAAGGAGAGGCAGCUAAUAUAGAAGAUGAAGCAAUGGAAAAGGCAGCUCAGGUGGCGUUACAAUGCAUCUGUGCAGACUAUAAUAUUUCUAUCGAAGACCAUAAUUACUAUGCCCUUGAAGUCGCAAAGGAAAGGUUGUUUACAGCAAGAGAGAAGGCUCAAACAAAGCAAUGGUGGUUCAACAUGGCCCGCCAGCAAGUAACUGCACAGCAAAAUGAAAUUACAAGACAAACAAUGAUUCUGGCAAAGAUAUGCAACAACUUCUUUGAUAUAUUAUCACUUCGCAUGUAUCCCCAGCGUCCAAACAACGACGAUCCCAUUAUCACAUACACAGGCGCGAACCCUCCCGUCGGACGUGUGCGGGAAUUUGCAAAAUCACUUUAUCACUUUGUCACAAGCACCAAUCCCGCAGGAGGGUAUACUAGGAUGAUCUAAUCCACCAACAACUACUUCUAGCUCAUUUAUGUAGUGUGUUUGUGUUUCUAUAUACAGUUCUUUGCCUACAGUGAACUGUAUGUAGUUUAAAUAGUUUGUUUGCCUUAGAAGUGUGCCACUUUUAAUUUGUAUCUUUGUAUCCCUACAUUUGAAAAAAUUUAAUAGCUUUA